rnacentral:rRNA from 1 species
AACGAACGCUGGCGGCAGGCUUAACACAUGCAAGUCGAACGCCCCGCAAGGGGAGUGGCAGACGGGUGAGUAACGCGUGGGAACAUACCCUUUUCUACGGAAUAGCUCUGGGAAACUGGAAUUAAUACCGUAUACGCCCUACGGGGGAAAGAUUUAUCGGGGAAGGAUUGGCCCGCGUUGGAUUAGCUAGUUGGUGGGGUAAAGGCCUACCAAGGCGACGAUCCAUAACUGGUCUGAGAAGAUGAUCAGCCACAUUUGGACUGGGACACGGCCCAAACUCCUACGGGAGGCAGCAGUGGGGAAUAUUGGACAAUGGGCGCAAGCCUGAUCCAGCCAUGCCGCGUGAGUGAUGAAGGCCUUAGGGUUGUAAAGCUCUUUCACCGAUGAAGAUAAUGACGGUAGUCGGAGAAGAAGCCCCGGCUAACUUCGUGCCAGCCGCCGCGGUAAAAC